CUGAACAGAUGUUGCAAAGUUACGUCUGUUUAUACGAGAACCACGACUAUAAAAUAUUGGUCUUAAUACAUUUUUAAUAAAUAUCCCAGCUCUAUUCAAUAUCAUAUUGAUCCAGAUUUGCAAUAAAUCACUUCAACAAGUCUAUAAUAUCAUUAUUUUGACAAAAUCACGAUUUACUAGGAUGUAUAUCCAGAGAUUUUUAAAUGAUUUUAUGAUUUUUGUCUAUAUAAAUGUCUAUAUUUUGAAGGAAGGGGCAUAGAA
rnacentral:lncRNA from 1 species